rnacentral:rRNA from 1 species
UGGGGAAUCUUGGACAAUGGGGGCAACCCUGAUCCAGCCAUGCCGCGUGAGUGAUGAAGGCCUUAGGGUCGUAAAGCUCUUUCGCCUGUGAAGAUAAUGACGGUAGCAGGUAAAGAAACCCCGGCUAACUCCGUGCCAGCAGCCGCGGUAAUACGGAGGGGGUUAGCGUUGUUCGGAAUUACUGGGCGUAAAGCGCACGUAGGCGGACCAGAAAGUUGGGGGUGAAAUCCCGGGGGCUCAACCCCGGAACUGCCUCCAAAACUAUUGGUCUAGAGUUCGAGAGAGGUGAGUGGAAUUCCAAGUGUAGAGGUGAAAUUCGUAGAUAUUUGGAGGAACACCAGUGGCGAAGGCGGCUCACUGGCUCGAUACUGACGCUGAGGUGCGAAAGCGUGGGGAGCAAAGCAGGAUU